CAGCUUCAUAACUAUAAACCAUAAAUGAAUCUAGUGUCACUCUGUUGUAGGUCCUCCACACUACCUCAUCCACUGGGACAUGUAACUAUUAGCCUGUCAUUGAGCACCAAGGCUCUCCCAUGAGGCCCUCUGCAUGCCUCCCAUGAGACAUGGUCUCUGGUUCUGUUCGGGCUUCAGGCAGUUACCUCUUCCCUGUCAGUGUGUGCCAUGAACGCCCUGUCCCCUGCCCCGCUGACACUGUGGCUCGUCUCUGUCUGGGUCUUGCCAGCCAAGUGUCACGGGAACACGUUGGGACAAUGACCAACACCGUAUGCUGAAUUUCUUUCAAGGUGGUAAGUGUCGAGCUUUGGCGGAAACUUUGCUAAAUGGAACAAGACUGGCAAAGAAAUAUCUUGUCAUCCUUGGGAAAGGUAGGUAUCAUAUUCGUUUUGUAUUAUCGUUAUACUGAUCAUAAUCACUAUUAUUUACCCAGUGCUUGCUCAAUGCUGGGCACUUAGGUAAAUAAAUGCUUUAUAUAAUUUUCUUACUAGGUUCUU
rnacentral:lncRNA from 12 species